rnacentral:rRNA from 1 species
UACGUAGGGUGCGAGCGUUAAUCGGAAUUACUGGGCGUAAAGCGUGCGCAGGCGGUUUUGUAAGCCAGAUGUGAAAGCCCCGGGCUUAACCUGGGAAUGGCAUUUGGGACUGCAAGGCUGGAGUGUGGCAGAGGAGACUGGAAUUCCUGGUGUAGCAGUGAAAUGCGUAGAUAUCAGGAGGAAUACCGAUGGCGAAGGCAGGUCUCUGGGCUGACACUGACGCUCAUGCACGAAAGCGUGGGGAGCAACAGG